rnacentral:rRNA from 1 species
CCCUUAGAUGUUCUGGGCUGCACGCGCGCUACACUGGUGCGUUCAGCGAGUUUAGCACCUUAACAGAUAUGUUUGGGUAAUCUUCUGAAAACGCACCGUGAUGGGGAUCGAUUAUUGUAAUUAUUAAUCGUCAACGAGGAAUUCCUAGUAAGUGUGAAUCAUCAGUUCGCGCUGAUUACGUCCCUGCCCUUUGUACACACCGCCCGUCGCUGCUACCGAUUGAGUGAUCCGGUGAAUGUUUUGGAUCGGCUUCAAGUUGGUUCGCGCCUCUUGCUUGCUGUGAAAUCAUGUAAACCUUAUUGCUUAGAGGAAGGAGAAGUCGUAACA